GAUGAACGCUAGCUACAGGCUUAACACAUGCAAGUCGAGGGGCAGCAUGAUUGAAGCUUGCUUCAAUCGAUGGCGACCGGCGCACGGGUGAGUAACACGUAUCCAACCUGCCGAUAACUCGGGGAUAGCCUUUCGAAAGAAAGAUUAAUACCCGAUAGUAUAGUAUUUCCGCAUGGUUUCACUAUUAAAGAACUUCGGUUAUCGAUGGGGAUGCGUUCCAUUAGAUAGUUGGCGGGGUAACGGCCCACCAAGUCAACGAUGGAUAGGGGUUCUGAGAGGAAGGUCCCCCACAUUGGAGCUGAGACACGGUCCAAACGCCUACGGGAGGCAGCAGUGAGGAAUAUUGGUCAAUGGACGAGAGUCUGAACCAGCCAAGUAGCGUGAAGGAUGACUGCCCUAUGGGUUGUAAACUUCUUUUAUACGGGAAUAAAGUGGAGUAUGCAUACUCCUUUGUAUGUACCGUAUGAAUAAGGAUCGGCUAACUCCGUG
rnacentral:rRNA from 1 species